rnacentral:rRNA from 1 species
AGAGUUUGAUCCUGGCUCAGGACGAACGCUGGCGGCGUGCUUAACACAUGCAAGUCGAACGGGCCUGCUCCUUGUGGGUGGGUUAGUGGCGAACGGGUGAGUAUCACGUGAGUAACCUGCCCCCUGCUCCUGGAUAACGCUCUGAAAGGGGUGCUAAUACGGGGUGUGCUGGUGCUGCCGCAUGGUGGUGCCGGGAUAGGUUCCCCUUUUUUGGGGUUCUGGUGGGGGAUGGGCUCGCGGCCUAUCAGCUUGUUGGUGGGGUGAUGGCCUACCAAGGCGGUGACGGGUAGCCGGCCUGAGAGGGUGGACGGCCACACUGGGACUGAGACACGGCCCAGACUCCUGCGGGAGGCAGCAGUGGGGGGUAUUGCGCAAUGGGCGGAAGCCUGACGCAGCGACGCCGCGUGAGGGACGGAGGCCUUCGGGUUGUGAACCUCUUUCGCCGGUGGAGAAGGCGCCCCCGUGUGGGGUGCUGACUGUAGCCGGGUUAAGAAGCGCCGGCUAACUACGUGCCAGCAGCCGCGGUAAUACGUAGGGCGCGAGCGUUGUCCGGAAUUAUUGGGCGUAAAGGGCUUGUAGGCGGCUGGUCGCGUCUGCCGUGAAAUUCUCCGGCUCAACCGGGGGCUUGCGGUGGGUACGGGCCGGCUGGAGUGCGGUAGGGGAGGCUGGAACUCCUGGUGUAGCGGUGGAAUGCGCAGAUAUCAGGAGGAACACCGGUGGCGAAGGCGGGUCUCUGGGCCGUUACUGACGCUGAGGAGCGAAAGCGUGGGGAGCGAACAGGAUUAGAUACCCUGGUAGUCCACGCCGUAAACGUUGGGCACUAGGUGUGGGGGGCCUCUUCCGGGUCGUCCGCGCCGUAGCUAACGCAUUAAGUGCCCCGCCUGGGGAGUACGGCCGCAAGGCUAAAACUCAAAGGAAUUGACGGGGGC